rnacentral:rRNA from 2 species
UGUAAGACUGGGAUAACUCCGGGAAACCGGAGCUAAUACCGGAUAGUUCCUUGAACCGCAUGGUUCAAGGAUGAAAGACGGUUUCGGCUGUCACUUACAGAUGGACCCGCGGCGCAUUAGCUAGUUGGUGAGGUAACGGCUCACCAAGGCGACGAUGCGUAGCCGACCUGAGAGGGUGAUCGGCCACACUGGGACUGAGACACGGCCCAGACUCCUACGGGAGGCAGCAGUAGGGAAUCUUCCGCAAUGGACGAAAGUCUGACGGAGCAACGCCGCGUGAGUGAUGAAGGUUUUCGGAUCGUAAAGCUCUGUUGUUAGGGAAGAACAAGUGCAAGAGUAACUGCUUGCACCUUGACGGUACCUAACCAGAAAGCCACGGCUAACUACGUGCCAGCAGCCGCGGUAAUACGUAGGUGGCAAGCGUUGUCCGGAAUUAUUGGGCGUAAAGGGCUCGCAGGCGGUUUCUUAAGUCUGAUGUGAAAGCCCCCGGCUCAACCGGGGAGGGUCAUUGGAAACUGGGAAACUUGAGUGCAGAAGAGGAGAGUGGAAUUCCACGUGUAGCGGUGAAAUGCGUAGAGAUGUGGAGGAACACCAGUGGCGAAGGCGACUCUCUGGUCUGUAACUGACGCUGAGGAGCGAAAGCGUGGGGAGCGAACAGGAUUAGAUACCCUGGUAGUCCACGCCGUAAACGAUGAGUGCUAAGUGUUAGGGGGUUUCCGCCCCUUAGUGCUGCAGCUAACGCAUUAAGCACUCCGCCUGGGGAGUACGGUCGCAAGACUGAAACUCAAAGGAAUUGACGGGGGCCCGCACAAGCGGUGGAGCAUGUGGUUUAAUUCGAAGCAACGCGAAGAACCUUACCAGGUCUUGACAUCCUCUGACAACCCUAGAGAUAGGGCUUUCCCUUCGGGGACAGAGUGACAGGUGGUGCAUGGUUGUCGUCAGCUCGUGUCGUGAGAUGUUGGGUUAAGUCCCGCAACGAGCGCAACCCUUGAUCUUAGUUGCCAGCAUUCAGUUGGGCACUCUAAGGUGACUGCCGGUGACAAACCGGAGGAAGGUGGGGAUGACGUCAAAUCAUCAUGCCCCUUAUGACCUGGGCUACACACGUGCUACAAUGGACAGAACAAAGGGCUGCGAGACCGCAAGGUUUAGCCAAUCCCACAAAUCUGUUCUCAGUUCGGAUCGCAGUCUGCAACUCGACUGCGUGAAGCUGGAAUCGCUAGUAAU